UAACAUUAAAUGCACAUUUUGUUUUGGCCCAAGUGAUACUGAAGUCACCCGAUGAUAUAAAUUGAUCAGAAUUCAGGUUCUCCAUCUCUUGUUGAUAGACUCAACAAAGGUGCAAGGGGAGGCUACUAAUUUUAUGCCAUCUAUUGAGAAAUGUUCACUCAUACUUGGAUACAUCAACUAUUGGCGAUCGAAUAACUGCAUUGCCAAAUUCCAAUAUCAAAGUUUCAAUAUCAAUUUCCAAGUCAUUCGUUUACUUUUUCUGCUUCAUCAGUCUAGCUUCAGAGCAAGGAGGUGAAAAUAAACCUAUGAGAAAACUCGGAAUAUAAUCUAAGCCAAAACUCAAUAAGAUGCGGUAGGAAAAACUUGUUGAGCUUAUCAGUUUAACAUUGUUGUUCAGCGUCACCACGUUCUUUGCUCUUUGGCCUUUGCUGUUCUGUCCAGCCUAGAACCUAGCUAGUGUUAGUCCCACAUCGGCAAAUCGUCGUGUGAGCAAAGCGUUGAGCAGUUAUAAAAGCCAAGGAAAGCCACGAAGCAAAUCAUACCUUUCUCGGCCUUUUGGCUAAGAUCAAGUGUAGUAUCUGUUCUUAUCAGUUUAAUAUCUGAUACGUGGGCCAUCGGCCCACAUGAUAUUAAAUUAAUUUUUUAAGGGGGAGGGUCCGACACAAUAGCUUGCUAUUGGGAUCCUCGAGCGUCGCCCAUGCGUUGCACUGCUGCACGGGCCUGGCGCACCCCACCAAAACUGAGUUUGAGGUUUUUCUCUUUCCGUUGUUGUAUGGCCAGCUUUAGGAACAUGGUUCGACAAGGGAGUUUCAUUUUGGCAGCUCUGUGCAACAUUUUUCUGGUCACUCUGCUAUUGCGCUUAACAUCAAAUGCACAUUAAGUGAUACUGAAAUCACCCAAUGACAUAAAUUGAUCAGAAUUCAGGUGGAUUUAAAGGACAACAUAUGGUGUGUUGGAAAGGAUGCAGACAACAUGGCCGAAAAAGAAACGAUAAAAACAUUCUUUGAAAUGACAUUUGCAGAUGAAAUGUGAACGACGAACAUGCAUCGUCUCCUUAAUUCUCUCUCACUUUUGCUUUGUUAGGUUCUCCAUCUCUUGUUGAUAGACUCAACAAAGGUGCAAGGGGAGGCUACUAAUUUUAUACCACUAAAAUUAUAUUCAUAUAUUUCAAAUCCUUUAUGUUUAUUUUAUUUCAGAGGAAAUAUAUAUAAAACUGAAAUAAUUUUAC